rnacentral:rRNA from 1 species
UACCCGCUGAACUUAAGCAUAUCAAUAAGCGGAGGAAAAGAAACCAACAGGGAUUGCCUUAGUAACGGCGAGUGAAGCGGCAAAAGCUCAGAUUUGAAAUCUGGUGUCAUUUUGGCAUCCGAGUUGUAAUCUGUAGAGGAAUAUUCGAGUGUGGCUUUGGCUUAAGUUCCUUGGAACAGGACGUCAUAGAGGGUGAGAACCCCGUUUACGGCCUUUGUCUUAUGCUCAUGUGAAUCUCCUUCAACGAGUCGAGUUGUUUGGGAAUGCAGCUCUAAAUGGGUGGUAAAUUCCAUCUAAAGCUAAAUACUGGCAAGAGACCGAUAGCGCACAAGUAGAGUGAUCGAAAGAUGAAAAGAACUCUGAACAGAGAGUUAAAUAGUACGUGAAAUUGUUGAAAGGGAAGCACUUGCUACCAGACACGCCUGUAGUUGAUCAACCUCCAUUCUUGGUGGUGCACUCAGCUAUAGGUGGGUCAGCAUCAGUUACACCGGUGGGAUAAAGGCCUUGGGAAUGUAGCUUCCUUCGGGAAGUGUUAUAGCCCAGAGUGUAAUACCAUCUGGAGUGACUGAGGACCGCGCUUCGGCGAGGAUGCUGGCAUAAUGGUCGUAAGUGACCCGUCUUGAAACACGGACCAAGGAGUCUAACAUCUAUGCGAGUGUUUGGGUGUUAAAACCCUUACGCGGAAUGAAAGUGAAUGUAGGUGGGAACCGCAAGGUGCACCAUCGACCGAUCCUGAUGUUUUCGGAUGGAUUUGAGUAGGAGCAUAGCUGUUGGGACCCGAAAGAUGGUGAACUAUGCCUGAAUAGGGUGAAGCCAGAGGAAACUCUGGUGGAGGCUCGCAGCGGUUCUGACGUGCAAAUCGAUCGUCAAAUUUGGGUAUAGGGGCGAAAGACUAAUCGAACCAUCUAG